rnacentral:snoRNA from 1 species
UAGUCCUCCUCAAUGCUAGUUAGUUUAUACUAUUACCAGCUAAGCAUCCUCUUAAUCGGACUAAUAGUGAAUCAAAGAUUCAAUAUUAUCCUAGUGCUUGAAGAAGAAAAGCCGCUUCCCGCAUUCCUGGAAAUUGAAACUACAAAA